AUACUGUUUUACCUCUGUCUGUCCUUCCGUCAGUCCGUCAGUCAGUCCGUCCGUCCCAUGAAUAUUUUUCGUCACAUUUUUCUCAGGAACUACAAUACAAGGAUUUCUGAAAUUUGGUUUCAGGGUUUAUCUAAGUCAGCUAUACCGUGUGAUGCGUUUUCAGAUUGAUCACUUGACAACUUCCUGUUUACCGAACACUUGUAUGAUUUUACACAUGAUAG
rnacentral:lncRNA from 1 species